UAGCUGCAGAGGACAGAGGCUCAGGCAGGGCCCGGGCCGCCUCCUGGGAGGAGGCCAAACUUCAGAGCCCUGAGUGUGAAGGAAAAGGCAAGGCCCCACAGGGCAGCUCUGGGAGGCAGGUAAGCCCUGCCGUCUGGGCCGUGAAGGCCGAAGGGCCUGGAGCAGCUGGGAAGCAAGUGGGAGUCCCACAAGGCUCUGAGCACAGUGUGACAGAUGGGCUCAGGAAGAAGGCAGGCAGCAGUGCUCCAGCACAUUCUAGAACAUUCCACACCUCGAGAACCUGAGGCUGGAUCCCAGCACAGCUGUCAAUUGUGCCCUGAGGAAAGCUACAACCGGCCCCAGGCCACGAUCCCUCACCUGCCUUUAGGAAAUAAAGCCAGGUGCCCUGGGCUGCUAAGACCACAGUCCUGCGCACCCCGGCCAGCCAUCCGGGCCUACGGGCGGCCGGAAGAGGAGGCUGGUGGGAAGAUGCGCACAGAAGCUCCUCACUCUGAAGGGUGGCUGCGCUGUCGCCCAAGGGCUGGGCCAGAGCGGGAGAGGCCGGGGCCAGGGCAGCUGGGCACUGUAAGGAGAACCGGGCACACCCACUGUCCUUUACCUCCCUGGCUUGGUGACACCACUCUGGUCCCCCGGCAGCUCAAUGGCAUCGAUGGCCCCCUCCAGGCGAAGCAGGAUCACUGUGGGCAAGGGGUCAUCAGGUGCAGCCCGCCCGGCCACGCUGCAGCGGGGGAGGGCAGCACUCACCCUUGAGCUUGGCGAGGUCUUCCAACUCCAUGCGCAGCCCUGGGAGAGCGGCAAACGCACAGUCACUUUCUACCGCCACGCACCACAUCCUGGAGACAGGAUUCGGGCUGGAUUCCUGCCAGUUUCCCCAAGUCGUGGCGGUCUGGAGGUUCGCACAGACCAGUCCAACAGGCUCUGAACCCUUGCAGCCCGAACGUGGGCCAGAAGCAGCGGUGUGAGCUGGCGGUGUCUCACCUCUAGGGACACGGGAGCACACACACACUCGGAUGCUCGCUGGAGGCCCAGGACAACGACCCAGCUACAAAGUGUCCCAGCGCCCGCAUCGUGGCUCUUGCGAGAUCAGAUCUCCCGCGAGAGGAAACCAGGGCUGCUUGGAGACUUGGCUGGAGCCAGAUGAGGGACGGGAAAAGCGUGGACAGGUAUCUAGGCCACAGAAGAGGACAUCUGUCCAGACCACAGCUCUCAGGCCACAGAGACACGGCCACGGCGUGGCUCCCAGACCACGACAUUUCCUCUGGUUGUGUCUCAGGCUACAGUGAGGACGGCUGGACAAAUUCUUGGCAAGAGUGCACUAUCGAUGUUGGUCUCCCGAUCAGAGCAAGGCCACACGAGAGUGUCCUUGUUCUUGGGAAACAAACGCUGAGAUCCAGAGUAUCGGGAAGGACGCACAAAAAGAGAUCAUCCGUCCAAAGAACUCAAAUAGAAACAGGAGAAAAACAAAAGAUGAUUUUAAAAACGAAGACUAAAUCGGAAGGAAAACCAAAGUGGACGCCUGCCACGGCGACUUCAGAGAAACAGAAGGAGAAAGGGGGCAAUUUUUUACAAGUCAGGAAAGACACAGGAAAGACCUUGAGGCAGAGGAGGCUCUGAACGCGUCCCCGAAGAAGAAAACCGGAGCCCACGACAAGAGCUGAGUACGGCAGGCCAGGACACUUCCGCGGACGCAGAGAAGUCUGAAACCACAUGUUGAGGGGGCACAUCGCAUGGCGGACACUGAGACACUAUGACAAAGUCACUGCGCUUUAGAGAGUUCUGAGAGGACACAGGACUUGAAGAUAAAAAUCUCAAGAUAACAAGGUUUAAGAAAAACAUAAGACCAUCCAUCCAGAUAAUCCACUUCUAGGUGUCCUUGCAGAGAAACACGUAGCUGUUCACUCCAACACACGUGCAUUCGGGCGUUGAACACAGCUCUGAUUCAGCAGUUCUGAUGAAGGGAAAAUGUGAAACGGGUACAAACGGGCAGGGCUCCAUGGGGGCAGACAAGCUCCUGUGAGGCUCAGGGACCUGGAGCCCGAGACCAGCUCAGGGGGCCUGCAGGGCCGCACCUGUCGUCACGACAACGCCACCCCUCAGCAUGACACACAGUUUGCCUUUCCCCUCGGACGGACCGGCCUGGACGGACUUGGGAGACCUAGAAGACGAUACAUCUGUGUCGCCCGGCGUCGCCGGCACUACCUACAGCAGCAGCGGGAAAUGAACGCAGCACGUGAUGGGUGGCACCGCAUCAGAGCAAAAGCAGAAAGUUACGGGCCAGCUACCUUUGACAAAGCCAGAUUAUUAAACAGAUCUUUUUAACCAUAACACAAUGCCACUCUUUCGAUUUUUAAAAUACAGUCGUUUUUUAAGAAAAACGUUCUUGGGGCACCUGGGUGGCUCAGUCGGUUAAGCGUCCAAUUUUGGCUCAGGUCAUGAUCUCACGCACAGUUCCUGGGUUCGAGCCCCGCCUUGGGCUCUGUGCUGACAGCUCGGAGCCUGCUUCGGAUUCUGUGUCUCCCUCUCUCUCUGCCCCUCCCCUGCUCGUGCUCUCUGUCUCUGUCUCUGUCUCUC